CAAGGGAUUUUCCGCAAUGGGGGCAACCCUGACGGAGCAACGCCGCGUGCGGGACGACGCCUCUUGGGGUGUAAACCGCUUUUGCCGAGGACGAGAACGGACGGUACUCGGCGAAUCAGGACCGGCUAACUACGUGCCAGCAGCCGCGGUAAUACGUAGGGUCCGAGCGUUGUCCGGAGUGACUGGGCGUAAAGCGCGCGCAGGCGGCCUUUUAGGCACGACGUGAAAGCCCCGGGCUCAACCCGGGAGGGUCGUCGUGAACCGGGAGGCUUGAGGCCGGUAGAGGUGGGUGGAACUCCUGGUGGAGUGGUGAAAUGCGUAGAGAUCAGGAAGAACACCCGUGGCGAAGGCGGCCCACUGGGCCGGUACUGACGCUGAGGCGCGAAGGCGUGGGGAGCGAACGGGAUUAGAUACCCCCGUAGUCC
rnacentral:rRNA from 1 species